rnacentral:lncRNA from 1 species
UGUGAACUUAGGUCUGAUAUUGAUUGUUUAUGCUUCAUGCCAAAUGAUCAUCAAUAGUAAUUGCUCUUCAAAACUGUAUGUUUUGUACUAAAAAUAAACAUCUCAUUUACACUUUCAUUUAUAGGUGAAGAGCUUAUGGGUAUAAAUCUACAAACUAAUUUAUUUGUUAGUAUUUCAUUUAAUGUAUCUCUCUUUUUGUCAAUAACCAGCGAUACUUCC